AUUGAACGCUGGCGGCAGGCUUAACACAUGCAAGUCGAACGAGUGGCGGACGGGUGAGUAAUGCUUGGGAAUCUAGCUUAUGGAGGGGGAUAACUUAGGGAAACUGUAGCUAAUACCGCGUACCAUAGGAUGAGCCACAGUGGGAUUAGGUAGUUGGUGAGGUAAAGGCUCACAAAGCAGACGAUCUCUAGCUGGUCUGAGAGGAUGACCAGCCACACUGGGACUGAGACACGGCCCAGACUCCUACGGGCGGCAGGGGUGGGGAAUAUUGCGCAAUGGGGGCAACCUGACGCAGCCAUGCCGGGUGAAUGAAGAAGGCCUUCGGGUUGUAAAGUUCUUUCGGUAGCGAGGCGUUAACUACAGAAGAAGCACCGGCUAACUCCGUGCCAGCAGCCGCGGUAAUAC
rnacentral:rRNA from 1 species